rnacentral:lncRNA from 1 species
GUUUUACUUCAGGGUUGGGAGAAAUGGAAAACCCUUUGAGAGGGUGAAGUGAGAAACUAACCCCAAGAUCAAUCCAGCACAAGUGGAUGGCCAGGUGUGUGGGAGGCUGAGAGAAGAAGUUAAAGGCGCAAUGGGGAAGGCUUCCAGCGGCAGGAAAAAAAACAGAGAUCUGUAACUGCCGGGCUGCAUUUCUGUAGUUUUCUACAACCCUCGUUCCCCACUUGUGUGCAUUUUGUCCCUUGCCUCACUGCUGUAGGCCAUCUUGCUGAGGACAUCAGAUGGGAGAACUGUGGAGGAGCUACCGUGUGCUGUUCAAUAUGGCAGCCGUGAGUAUAUACCAACACCGGCAGAAGUACAGAGGGCUUCUCAGCUUGACCCUGCUCAGUUCCUCUACAGGAAUCUCAGCCUGGGCACAGCCUGGUGAGUGAAUGAUGGUG